AAGGCAUGGUGAGGGCACUUUCUGAGCAUCUCCUUGAAUCUCUCCUAACUCAUAAAUAGACUAUCCUUCUAAUUGAGUAAAAGAAGUAAUAUCAUAUCUAAGCUU